CUACGGGCGGCUGCAGUGGGGAAUAUUGCACAAUGGGCGCAAGCCUGAUGCAGCCAUGCCGCGUGUGUGAAGAAGGCCUUCGGGUUGUAAAGCACUUUCAGCGGGGAGGAAGGCGGUGAGGUUAAUAACCUCAUCGAUUGACGUUACCCGCAGAAGAAGCACCGGCUAACUCCGUGCCAGCAGCCGCGGUAAUACGGAGGGUGCAAGCGUUAAUCGGAAUUACUGGGCGUAAAGCGCACGCAGGCGGUCUGUCAAGUCGGAUGUGAAAUCCCCGGGCUCAACCUGGGAACUGCAUUCGAAACUGGCAGGCUAGAGUCUUGUAGAGGGGGGUAGAAUUCCAGGUGUAGCGGUGAAAUACGUAGAGAUCUGGAGGAAUACCGGUGGCGAAGGCGGCCCCCUGGACAAAGACUGACGCUCAGGUGCGAAAGCGUGGGGAGCAAACAGGAUUAGAUACCCGGGUAGUC
rnacentral:rRNA from 1 species